AAAAGGGGCUUCUGCCGUGUAUGACAAAUGCAGGGGCAGCUUGCUUGCUCUGUGCAGAAUCAACAUCAAGAGCUUUCAAAAGCAUAAUGUUUGGCAUUAGGGCAGCCGGUGAUCAUUGGUCCUGGCACCUCC
ensembl:snRNA